CCUACGGGAGAAAGCAGGGGACCUUCGGGCCUUGCGCUAUCGGAUGAGCCUAUGUCGGAUUAGCUGGUUGGUGAGGUAACGGCUCACCAAGGCGACGAUCCGUAGCUGGUCUGAGAGGAUGAUCAGCCACAUCGGGACUGAGACACGGCCCGAACUCCUACGGGAGGCAGCAGUGGGGAAUAUUGGACAAUGGGGGCAACCCUGAUCCAGCCAUGCCGCGUGUGUGAAGAAGGCCUUCGGGUUGUAAAGCACUUUCAGUGGGGAAGAAGGCCUUGAGGCUAAUACCCUCGAGGAAGGACAUCACCCACAGAAGAAGCACCGGCUAACUCCGUGCCAGCAGCCGCGGUAAUACGGAGGGUGCGAGCGUUAAUCGGAAUGACUGGGCGUAAAGCGCGCGUAGGCGGCUUGGUAAGCCGGUUGUGAAAGCCCCGGGCUCAACCUGGGAAUGGCAUCCGGAACUGUCAGGCUAGAGUGCAGGAGAGGAAGGUAGAAUUCCCGGUGUAGCGGUGAAAUGCGUAGAGAUCGGGAGGAAUACCAGUGGCGAAGGCGGCCUUCUGGACUGACACUGACGCUGAGGUGCGAAAGCGUGGGUAGCAAACAGGAUUAGAUACCCUGGUAGUCCACGCCGUAAACGAUGUCGACUAGC
rnacentral:rRNA from 1 species